UGACAGAAUGGCCGAGCGGUCUAAGGCGCUACCUUCAGACGGUAGUCUGUAUAAGGCGUGGGUUCGAAUCCCGCUUCUGUCAA
rnacentral:tRNA from 3 species